rnacentral:rRNA from 1 species
GAUGAACGCUGGCGGCGCGCCUAACACAUGCAAGUCGAACGAUUAAAGCACCUUCGGGUGUGUAUAAAGUGGCGGACGGCUGAGUAACACGUGGGCAACCUGCCCCUUUCAUUGGGAUAGCCACGGGAAACCGUGGAUAAUACCGAAUACUUCGAGACUUCCGCAUGGAAGACUCGAGAAAGCUCCGGCGGAGAGGGAUGGGCCCGCGGCCUGUUAGCUUGUUGGUGGGGUAACGGCCUACCAAGGCAAUGAUGGGUAGCUGGGUUGAGAGACCGACCAGCCAGAUUGGGACUGAGACACGGCCCAGACUCCUACGGGAGGCAGCAGUGGGGAAUCUUGCACAAUGGGCGAAAGCCUGAUGCAGCGACGCCGCGUGCGGGAUGAAGGCCUUCGGGUUGUAAACCGCUUUCAGCAGGGACGAGGCGAAAGUGACGGUACCUGCAGAAGAAGCCCCGGCUAACUACGUG